AUACGUAGGAGGCAAGCGUUGUUCGGAAUCACUGGGCGUAAAGGGCGCGUAGGCGGCUAAGCAAGUCGGAUGUGAAAGCCCCGAGCUCAACUCGGGAAGUACAUUCGAUACUGUUUGGCUAGAGUGUCGUAGAGGUUGGUGGAAUUCUCGGUGUAGAGGUGAAAUUCGUAGAUAUCCGGAGGAACAUCAGUGGCGAAGGCGACUUCCUGGACCAAUACUGACGCUGAGGUGCGAAAGCGUGGGGAGCAAACAGGAUUAGAAACCCCAGUAGUCC
rnacentral:rRNA from 1 species